AGUGAACGCUGGCGGUAGGCCUAACACAUGCAAGUCGAACGGCAGCACAGUAAGAGCUUGCUCUUACGGGUGGCGAGUGGCGGACGGGUGAGGAAUACAUCGGAAUCUACUUUUUCGUGGGGGAUAACGUAGGGAAACUUACGCUAAUACCGCAUACGACCUACGGGUGAAAGCAGGGGAUCUUCGGACCUUGCGCGAUUGAAUGAGCCGAUGUCGGAUUAGCUAGUUGGCGGGGUAAAGGCCCACCAAGGCGACGAUACGUAGCUGGUCUGAGAGGAUGGUCAGCCACACUGGAACUGAGACACGGUCCAGACUCCUACGGGAGGCAGCAGUGGGGAAUAUUGGACAAUGGGCGCAAGCCUGAUCCAGCCAUACCGCGUGGGUGAAGAAGGCCUUCGGGUUGUAAAGCCCUUUUGUUGGGAAAGAAAAGCAGCAGGUUAAUACCCCGCUGUUCUGACGGUACCCAAAGAAUAAGCACCGGCUAACUUCGUG
rnacentral:rRNA from 1 species